UACAACUUAAUGAGGAUUCUGACGAUUGAACUCGAAAGGAUGACAAUAAAAAUAGCAGCUACAAAAUUGAUCAAGGACCGGUGACUGGAUCUGAAACCAUGACGAUAACCUCAACUGAAUGUACUCCUUGAACUCGACCAAUGAAACUCAAACAGAUUCUGCAACAGACGUAAAUUGAAAUAAAAAAAGACGAUUAAAACCUACUAUUUUUUAUUUUCUAGUAUUCUAAGAAGCAAAAAGAGAACCCUUUCUUCCUAUCCAAAAAUUUGUCCGAAAUUUAUAUCCACAUCCCUUUUAAUUAUUAUUAUUUUUGUUCUUCCCGUCUUCUGUUCUUGUAUGUGUAUGUAUGUUUCUUGUUUAUGCUGGUAAGGAAGCUCGUUGGUGAGGUUGCCGGUGAGCAGUUGAGUGUUCUUUUGUGUGUGUGCAUGAAGAUUUUAUGUGGUUCAUUGAUUGGCUCGUUAUUUGGGAAGGGUGGCGGUAGAUGGUGGAGAAGGGUGGUGUGACGAGUUGUGAUUGUUGCGGCUGGUUUUGGUUAAAAGGGAUCUGGCGAUAGGGUGUGUUGAAGGAGAAGAAGGGGUCAUUGGUUGUGAGAUCCAGAACAAGGAAUGGCUAUGAGGGAUUUUUCGCUGGUGUUUCUCACUUCUGUCCACUCCUUAGGGUGUGUAGGAGAUGGAGAUCAGGUGAAGAAGAAGGGUCUCAUGAGGUCUCUAGGUCUUUUUUUUAUAGAAUAAAGGUCCAGGGAAAACGGUUGAUCCCUCUAGAG
rnacentral:lncRNA from 1 species